rnacentral:rRNA from 1 species
CCUACGGGAGGCAGCAGUCGAGAAUCAUUCACAAUGGGGGAAACCCUGAUAGUGCGACGCCGCGUGGGGGAAUGAAGGUCUUCGGAUUGUAAACCCCUGUCAUGUGGGAGCAAAUUAAAAAGAUAGUACCACAAGAGGAAGAGACGGCUAACUCUGUGCCAGCAGCCGCGGUAAUACAGAGGUCUCAAGCGUUGUUCGGAAUCACUGGGCGUAAAGCGUGCGUAGGCUGUUUCGUAAGUCGUGUGUGAAAGGUGCGGGCUCAACCCGCGGACGGCACAUGAUACUGCGAGACUAGAGUAAUGGAGGGGGAACCGGAAUUCUCGGUGUAGCAGUGAAAUGCGUAGAUAUCGAGAGGAACACUCGUGGCGAAGGCGGGUUCCUGGACAUUAACUGACGCUGAGGCACGAAGGCCAGGGGAGCGAAAGGGAUUAGAUACCCGGGUAGUC